AUGGCAGUGGUUGAAUGCACUGCAACCACGGCGGCGAUUGUGUCCUGCAUUGGCUACAACCUCUCUGGUGAGUUCUUGGCUCCUUCUCCUACCUCUGGCUCCUACUCUUCUGCCCUGAGCUCCUGGCCAUCAAUCCACUGCUAUACCAUUCUCUGUUUCAUGGAUGAUCGAGAUGCCGUCGCACAGUUGCUGGCUGUGAAAUCUCAGUUUAGUAUUUACAUUACUGGAUUUGAUGCAUUCUUGAGCAUCAUAUGCACUUUCCUCCCACGCUGCCAACAAACGACUGUGUAUGAUUCAAAGACGUGUCUUCAUACAUUGAGCAUGCCAUUCGAUAAAAUAGAUGCAGGCUCAAAGAAUUCCGAGUCUCUUGUCAUAUAUGUUAGUUUGCUGAAUGAGUCUGAGUUGUAG
rnacentral:rRNA from 1 species